rnacentral:rRNA from 1 species
GUCUACGGCCAUGCUACCCUGAACAAGCCCGAUCCCAUCUGACCUCAGAAGCUAAGCAGGGUCAGGCCUGGUUAGUACUUGGAAGACCGGGUGCUGUAGGAG